AGAGUUUGAUCCUGGCUCAGGAUGAACGCUGGCGGCGUGCCUAACGCAUGCAAGUCGAACGGAUCCAUAUUGAAACCUAGUGAUGUAUGGAUUAGUGGCGGACGGGUGAGUAACGCGUGGAUAACCUGCCGUAUACAGGGGGAUAACACUUAGAAAUAGGUGCUAAUACCGCAUAAGCGCACGGUUCCGCAUGGAACAGUGUGAAAAACUCCGGUGGUAUACGAUGGAUCCGCGUCUGAUUAGCCAGUUGGCGGGGUAACGGCCCACCAAAGCGACGAUCAGUAGCCGGCCUGAGAGGGUGAACGGCCACAUUGGGACUGAGACACGGCCCAAACUCCUACGGGAGGCAGCAGUGGGGAAUAUUGCACAAUGGGGGAAACCCUGAUGCAGCGACGCCGCGUGAGUGAAGAAGUAUUUCGGUACGUAAAGCUCUAUCAGCAGGGAAGAAAGAAAGUCCUUUGGACUUUGGACGGUACCUGACCAAGAAGCCCCGGCUAACUACGUG
rnacentral:rRNA from 1 species